GCCGCGUGGUGAUGAAGGUUUUCGGGUUGUAAAGCCUUUAAGUUGGGAGGAAGGGCAAGAGACUAAUACCUUGCUGUUUUGACGUUUCCGACUAAUAAGCACCGGCUAACUCUGGGGCACAGCCGCGGGAUACAUAGGGGCAAGCGUUAAUCGGAAUUACUGGGCGUAAAGUCGCGUAAGUGGUUCGUUAAAUAGAUGAAAAUCCCCGGGCCCCCUGGGAACUGCGGCUAACUGGCGAACUUGAGUAGGGUAAGGGAGGUGGAAUUUCCUGUGUAGCGGCUAAUGCGUACUAUAGGAAGGAACACCAGUGGAGAGGAACCACCUGGGCUCCACUGACACUGAGGUGCGAAAGCUGGGGAGCAAACAGGAUUAGAUACCCUGGUAGUCCACGCCGUAAACGAUGUCAACUAGCCGUUGGAAUCCUUGACAUUUUAGUGGCGCAGCUAACUAUUAAGUUGACCGCCUGGGGAGUACGGCCGCAAGGUUAAAACUCAAAUGAAUUGACGGA
rnacentral:rRNA from 1 species